CGCGCAGCCAGCAGUCAGUUGUGGACACGUGGGCCGCAUGGCUGAUUCUCCGGCAGACGACGCAAGCACAGGAAGACCGUCACGAAGGGCUCUGACGACACGCUGUGCCUUACUCGUGUUCGUGGUCGUAGGUAGCCUGUUGUUCCUUGGAGGAAUGUUUUUCAAGUUCGUCUCUAGCUCCACAGAUGACAGAAACUUCAGCAUGCAGAGGCACAGCAACACUCGUGUCUGAUAGUAUUACUUGAUAGACAUCUCACCAUCUGGUGAUUAAUACAGAUGAGCAGCAAGACCGCACAGCGUCUGUGCUGGCGAGAGUGGCGUGGCUUCGGCUGCCGCACGGAUACGAUGCCAGGAAUCGCCAUCGCUACGUGGACAACGGCUGCCGCCAUCUUCUGCCCAUGUUCAUCUCCCGGCAGCAGUUUCCCUGCAAUGAGUGCAUGUGCGUCCAACACCAAAGCCAGCCUGUAUUCAGUGUGACGUUCCUAACCUUAAUACAGUGAGAAUCACAGGCGGCACCACAAGACUCGGAAUGGCUCAUGUUUCACCUCUGUAGGCAAUGUACUCGCUUAGGAUUCGAUGUGAAGAUAUUUAAAUUCUUGAGCAGUUUGCGGCAGUGCCAGCUGCUCGUCAACGAAGAACAUAUCUUGCAGAUCAGAGCUAACCCGUUAACGAAAAAUAAUUCUGUAUCGAAUUCCGUCUUGUGAAGGCAAAAGCAGUUUUGAUAGAAUAUUUUCGGAAGCACUGACUCUGUUGGAACAACAAUGUUGUUAAGCCAUGGAAGGCAUCGUGUAUAAAAUGAGACCUGUUAACAGUACUAAUGCUCAGAGGAACUAUGUUCUUAUGUAAAAAAUUCCUUACUUUAUACUUUAUUGUAUUUAUACUUCAUCCUUA